rnacentral:siRNA from 1 species
ACUGCGUUCUUGAUGGGUACUCAG